CUACAGCUGCUCCAACAACCACUACAGAGUCUCCAACAACCACUACAGAGGCUACAACCACAACUACAGCUGCCCCAACUACAACUACAGUUGCUGCAACAACCACUACAGAGUCUCCAACAAUAACGACAGAGGCUAUAACCACAACUACAGCUGUCGCAACCACUACUACAGUUACUCCAACAACCACUACAGAGUCUCCAACAACGACUACAGAGGCUACAACCACAACUACAGCUGCCCCAACUACAACUACAGCUGCUGCAACAACUACAGAGUAUCCAACAACCACUACAGAGGCUACAACCACAACUACAGCUGCCCCAACUACUACUACAGCUGCUCCAACAACCACUACAGAGUCUCCAACAACAACAACAGAGGCUACAACCACAACUACAGCUGUCGCAACUACUACUACAUCUGCUCCAACAACGACUACAGAGGCUCCAACAACCACUACAGAGGCUACAACCACAACUACAGCAGUCGCAACCACUACUACAGCUGCUCCAACAACCACUACAGAAUCUCCAACAACCACUACAGAGGCUACCACCACAACUACAGCAGUCGCAACCACUACUACAGCUGCUCCAACAACCACUACAGAGUCUCCAACAACCACUACAGAGGCUACAACCACAACUACAGCUGUCGCAACCACUACUACAGCUGCUCCAACAACCACUACAGAGUCUCCAACAACAACAACAGAGGCUACAACCACAACUACAGUUGUCGCAACUACUACUACAGCAGCUCCAACAACCACUACAGAGUCUCCAACAACCACUACAGAGGAUACAACCACAACUACAGCAGUCGCAACCACUACUACAGCUGCUCCAACAACCACUACAGAGUCUCCAACAACCACUACAGAGGCUACAACCACAACUACAGCUAUCGCAACCACUACUGCAGUUACUCCAACAACCACUGCAGAGUCUCCAACAACGACUACAGAGGCUACAACCACAACUACAGCUGCCCCAACUACAACAACAGUUGCUGCAACAACAACAACAGAGUCUCCAACAACAACGACUACAGAGGCUACAACCACAAGUACAGCUGUCGCAAUCACUACUACAGUUACUCCAACAACCACUACAGAGUCUCCAACAACGACUACAGAGGCAACAACCACAACUACAGCUGCCCCAACUACAACUACAGCUGCUGCAACAACUACAGAGUCUCCAACAACAACAACAGAGGCUACAACCACAACUACAGUUGUCGCAACUACUACUACAGCUGCUCCAACAACCACUACAGAGUCUCCAACAACCACUACAGAGGCUACAACCACAACUACAGCUGUCGCAACUACUACUACGGCUGCUCCAACAACCACUACAGAGGCUACAACAACAACGACAGAGGCUACAACCACAACUACAGCUGUCGCAACCACUACUACAGCUGCUCCAACAACCACUACAGAGUCUCCAACAACAACAACAGAGGCUACAACCACAACUACAGUUGUCGCAACUACUACUACAGCAGCUCCAAC
ensembl:lncRNA